rnacentral:rRNA from 1 species
UGCCAGCCGCCGCGGUAACACGUAAGGGGCGAGCGUUGUUCGGAAUUAUUGGGCGUAAAGGGCGCGUAGGCGGCAUAGCAAGUCAGAUGUGAAAUAUCCCAGCUUAACUGGGGGAGCGCGUUUGAAACUGCUGUGCUGGAGUCUAGGAGGGGAAGCUGGAAUUCCUGGUGUAGGGGUGAAAUCUGUAGAUAUCAGGAAGAACACCGGUGGCGAAGGCGAGCUUCUGGCCAUAGACUGACGCUGAGGCGCGAAAGCGUGGGGAGCGAACAGGAUUAGAUA